GAUGAACGCUGGCGGCGUGCCUAAUACAUGCAAGUCGAGCGAACAGAUGAGGAGCUUGCUCCUCUGACGUUAGCGGCGGACGGGCGAGUAACACGUGGAUAACCUACCUAUAAGACUGGGAUAACUUCGGGAAACCGGAGCUAAUACCGGAUAAUAUAUUGAACCGCAUGGUUCAAUAGUGAAAGACGGUUUUGCUGUCACUUAUAGAUGGAUCCGCGCCGCAUUAGCUAGUUGGUAAGGUAACGGCUUACCAAGGCAACGAUGCGUAGCAGACCUGAGAGGGUGAUCGGCCACACUGGAACUGAGACACGGUCCAGACUCCUACGGGAGGCAGCAGUAGGGAAUCUUCCGCAAUGGGCGAAAGCCUGACGGAGCAACGCCGCGUGAGUGAUGAAGGUCUUCGGAUCGUAAAACUCUGUUAUUAGGGAAGAACAAAUGUGUAAGUAACUAUGCACGUCUUGACGGUACCUAAUCAGAAAGCCACGGCUAACUACGUG
rnacentral:rRNA from 1 species